CGCCUCCCUCCCUCCCUCCCACACAGCUGCCUCGCGGCGGCGGCUCCUGCGCCCGCGUUCUUCCUUCCCCAACACGCCACCGCGUGGCCCCGCACGCCUAGGCGGCUCCUUCCUCUCCUCCCCACCCGCGUUGUUGCCCCCGCUCGUCCCCGCUCCCUCGCGCCCUCCCCUUCUCCCCGCCCUCUCGCUGCUCAGCAGGAGGAGCGCGGCUCACCGUCGUGGACUACGGCGCUCCUCCCGCCUCUCCCCAUCGCGCCGCCCCCCGCCUCUCCAUGGAGCCUGCUUCCUCACCCAUAUCCCCGGCGGCCAGAUCCACGACGCCGUCCUCCUCCACGACCACGCAGCCGCAACGGUGGAGGAGGAGCCAUGGAUCCCGAACCCUAGCCCGUGGGCAUCAGGCAGGAGGAGGCGACCACGCAGCCAUGGAUCUGUGGGGCGAAGCCAUGGAAGGGCCACCACCAACAGCACCUAUGGUCAUGGAGCGCCGUCGCCGCCUGGACCAAGCUCCCUGCUCCACUGACCAAGAACGCUCGAUUCCGGCCGCCUGCAGCACAUCAGGCCAUCAGCUAACAGAACUCUUUUCAUAGCUUGCUGCUCAAUUGGUGGAGGACAAUAUGUGCACUACUUUUCUUGAUCAAGUCACUUUUCUAUCAUGUUUGAGCUCACCAAUGGUGAUGUAGUCAACAUAUAUCUCUUCUUCAGCUAACCUGUUCAUGCCAAGGGCUUAAGUAUGGCAACAAAAGGAAAAGGAUGGUGUGCAACAAAAGGAAAAUGAUGGUGUGCAACAAAAGAAAAAAAAGAGAUGACGUGGAGCCUCAAGUACAAGUGAAGAAGUUAUAUUUGUGGAUAUGUCAGAAAGGCAUUAGGCUACUGCCUGUGACUGUUUUACCUUGAUUUGCCAGGCAUCCCAGGAGAUGGGAGUUGCUUAUUUUGCUCUGUGGUACAUAGAGCAUGCGUCCUCUCAGGGAAACCUAUACCUAAUGAAAAUCUUAAAUGAAAGCUAGCUGAUGAAUUCAGGAAGCAGCUAUACAAAUCCAUCAUUGUUUAGGCCGCUGAUGAAUCUGUCACUAGACGGGAAGAGACUUAAUGGUUUGUUGAAGGCGAUUUCAUACAUACAUUCCAGAUUAGGCGACCACAUGUGUGUGGUUGUGAGCCCGAACUGUUCAUGGCUUCACAUGUUCUCCAUGUUCUCAUUUGGGUUCAGUAUCUACAUAUAUGAACAUAGUGACUAUUAUCCCAAGCGCGCGUAGGGAGCUCUUGCUUGCUACACCAGCGACAGGCGCAUGAGCUUUCCGAUCCACGGCAACACCAGUCAACAGGGUACGACGAGGAUUCAUUGUAAGGAAAGUUAGUCUGGCCUCAGAUUUUACAUGGUCUGAUGCUCAAACACCAAUGGAAUUGUUCAAGUCGUGCUCAGCGAUGAUCAUUGCAGGCUCCAUUUGUUAUUAAAAUCUGCUAAUUGUUGUGUUCUCUUUACUUUGUAUUUUAUAAACUGCUACACAUAUCUGGCCUUUUGCUCAGUCAAUUGUGAGUUAGGAAGUGCGGCUUGCCGCACCCGGCUGGAAUCUUAAUUGUAUGAGGGUGAACAACAAAUGACUGGAUACAUGGUUUAUGCA